UACGUAGGGUGCGAGCGUUGUCCGGAAUUAUUGGGCGUAAAGGGCUCGUAGGCGGUUUGUCGCGUCGGGAGUGAAAUCCACUGGCUUAACUGGUGGCUUGCUUUCGAUACGGGCAGACUGGAGGUAUGCAGGGGAGAACGGAAUUCCUGGUGUAGCGGUGAAAUGCGCAGAGUAUCAGGAGGAACACCGGUGGCGAAGGCGGGACUCUGGGCCGAUACUGACGCUGAGGAGCGAAAGCGUGGGGAGCAAACAGG
rnacentral:rRNA from 1 species